AGCAGCCGCGGUAAUUCCAGCUCCAAUAGCGUAUAUUAAAGUUGUUGCAGUUAAAAAGCUCGUAGUUGAAUUUCGGGAUCAAUGCGUCGGUCGUGCCUUCGGUACGUACUAGCGUCAUUGAUUCCUCCCUUCUGAAGAACCGUGAUGUCAUUAAUUUGGUGUUACGGGGAAUCAGGACUGUUACCUUGAAAAAUUAGAGUGUUUAAAGCAGGCUAACGCUUGAAUACAUUAGCAUGGAAUAAUGAAAUAGGACGUUCGAACCUAUUUUGUUGGUUUCUAGGAUCGACGUAAUGAUUAAUAGGGAUAGUUGGGGGCAUUAGUAUUCAAUUGUCAGAGGUGAAAUUCUUGGAUUUAUUGAAGACUGACUACUGCGAAAGCAUUUGCCAAGGAUGUUUUCAUUAAUCAAGAACGAAAGUUAGGGGAUCGAAGACGAUCAGAUACCGUCGUAGUCUUAACCAUAAACUAUGCCGACUAGGGAUCGGAUGAUGUUAAUUUUAUAAUGACUCAUUCGGCGCCUUAA
rnacentral:sRNA from 1 species